rnacentral:misc_RNA from 1 species
GCAUCUUCACCUCCCCAAGGUACAUUAUGAAGCCAAACUGAUACAAAAGGCCCCUCAAUCUUACGGUUGAAAUCCUUCAUCUGCAAAGCAGGACCACAAUAUGCCUUGUGCUGAACUAGACUCGAUUUGACUUCACUAAUAGUUUCACCUUCCGGGUCAGCUGGUUCUCCAAAAGUUUCAUAGCCUGGUGCAGCCACAAAUUUUAUACAACCAUUGUACCUCCUGAGGCGGAAUAUUCGUUGUAUUGCAUAAUAAUCUAUUCGAGCACUGCCCAUCCAUCUAUACUUCUCAGACUCGAUAUCAAUAUCAG